ACACCAAAUCUAAAUAUUUCAAAUUUCCAGGUCCAUUUCUUACUUCUAUUUUGGCUUUUUAUCAAGCUCAAAACCAAUAGUUGAGCCCAAGGCCAAACUAAAAAUGGGGCUACAAUCAAUCCAAGCCAAGGAGAGUAUCACAAGGCUCAAGUUUGGUCCAUUUAAACCUGGAUAAAUUGCACCAACUGUCCCUAAACUAAGGGGCUGUUUUAUUUCCAUUCCUAAAUUUUAAUUUAUUACAAUAAAAUCACUCAAUUUUA
rnacentral:misc_RNA from 1 species